CAGGGUUUAUAAAAGGGGCCUUUGCCAUGGGAGCUGAGCUGCAUCAGGCAGGCAGGAGCAGCAAGAUGGUGUCACAGACGCAGGUCCUCAUGUUCUUGUUGCUCUGGGUCACAGGUGCCUGCGGGGACAUCGUGAUGACCCAGUCUCCAGCCUCCUUGGCUGUGUCUCCAGGACAGAGGGUCACCAUUAACUGCAGGGCCAGUCAGAGUGUUAGCAGCUACGUAGCCUGGUACCAGCAGAAGCCUGGGCAGGCUCCAAGAUGGCUCAUCUACUUGGCAUCCACCCGGGAAUCUGGGGUCCCUGACCGGUUCAGUGGCAGUGGGUCUGGGACAGAUUUCACUUUCACCAUCAGCAGUGCCCAGGCUGAGGAUUUGGCAACUUAUUACUGCAUGCAGGGUGACAGCUAUCCUCCCACAGUGCUUCAGCCUCCAACACAAACCCCAGGUCCCCGGAAGGACCAGGCCCCUGUGAGGUGCAGGCAGCUCUCCUGUGAGGACCCAGAGCAGUUCUGGGAGCCUCAGGCCAGCCAAGGGUCCCUGCGCCUGCGCAAGCUGGAGCCCCUCAUCCCAGAUGCUCCUUUCCACAGGGAUGAGUCUGGGGGUGUGGGGCUGUGA